GUGUUUGUUCGGCAGCACAUAUACUAAAAUUGGAAGGAUACAGGGAAGAUUAGCGUGGCCCUGCACAGGGAUGACACGCACAUCUGUGAAGCGUUCCGCAUUGUG